rnacentral:lncRNA from 1 species
UGUGAUACUUUACUGCUGAUUGUUGAUGCACAACAUUUCGGCGCGGCGCUUCUAAUUGUAAAGAUUUGCAGAUUAGUUUUAAAUUAUCGCGAAAAAAUAGUAACUUUUCGAGAAAGGACUAACCUCCCUAGAUAGGGACGAUUGUUAACAUUUUGCCAAUAUUUCCUUAUAGUUAGUUCAGAUGUAUGUUCCAGGUAAAUUGGUAGAGACAAGUAAUGUCAUCAUUGAUAUUGGAACACGAUAUUACGUUGGAAAGUUGUUUAAUCUUAUAACCGGAUAGGCGAUACAAUAAGGCAGAACAAUACUCCAGAUGUGGAGCUGCUAUGCUGUUAUAUAACAUUAAUUUAGUACCCAUUGACAAACUACCUCCCGGUCUUGCAAUAAAUCCAACCUUACACACUGUUUUUGGUUAAGUAAGGUUAGUUCAAGUAGUCAUAUAUACGUAGGAUCAACUGCAGUCGUAAAUUAUAUUAUGUGUAUUUUCCACAA